rnacentral:lncRNA from 1 species
AUUGAUAUAGUGAAAAACAAUAUCUUUAAUAUCUUUUUUUUUUUAAUAAAAAUCAACCUUUAAUAUGAUUCCAACUGUACACAAUCAUCCUCGUUAUAAAUAAUUGUAUCAUUAUAUGAUUUUAAUUGACUACAAUCAACACACAUUUAAACCUAAGUUAGAGGGUAAAACUCGAGCAAAAACUAACCACUUGAACAAUAGACGGUUUGUGAUAUAUGAUUAGAAUGGUUCUUUAUAUAUUACAUUCCAUGUUUGUUCUCUGUAAAACAAUGAUUUGUUGUUGUAUUUUUUAAAGAGACCAUUCUUUAUAUAUAAGAAUAGGCACAUUGACCUACCUAAAUUGGUUGCAACUUUCCAUGGGGGCAUGGAGAUUUUUAAUACCAACUUAAUACCCCCUACAAGUGGGAGCAUGGAGAUUUCUAAUACCAACUUUCCAUGAAAAGUGUCAAACAACGAUUUUCUAAAGCUUUUAGUAGUAGCAACAGCAAUAGUAGUAAUAGAGAUUGAGUGGAUAUUUUCUUUGAGAACUUAAUUCCAAUAAGAAUGGAAGUCCAAUUCAAUGUGCUUGAUGAAUUCAAGGAACAUCGUGUUUUUGGAAAUAUGUAAAGCCAUCUGACUAUCAGAAUGAAUGAUCAUUGGUUUAUCAUGAACAACCUUAGGUUAGAGAGGAACCUUUUUAAUGAUUGUAACUCACAUGUAGUAGUUGCCAUUGUCCUAUACUCAACCUUAACCAAAGAUUGAGAUAUAGUGUGUUGUUUCUUUGUUUUCCAAUAAACAUAUAAGAGAGUCACCAAGCAUCACUCGUCAUCCGAUGGAUGAUUGAUCAUCUGGUUAAAGAGAAACUAGCCAAAUAUGAGUUGCACCAACCAUGAAGUUGUAACUCACAUUCUUG